UACGUAGGGGGCUAGCGUUGUCCGGAUUUAUUGGGCGUAAAGAGCGUGUAGGCGGCCUGGUAGGUCUGCUGUGAAAACUCGAGGCUCAACCUCGAGAUGUCGGCGGAAACCAUCUGGCUAGAGUCCGGAAGAGGAGAGUGGAAUUCCUGGUGUAGCGGUGAAAUGCGCAGAUAUCAGGAAGAACACCCGUGGCUAAGGCGGCUCUCUAGUACGGUACUGACGCUGAGACGCGAAAGCGUGGGGAGCAAACAGG
rnacentral:rRNA from 1 species